rnacentral:rRNA from 1 species
UACGGAGGGGGCUAGCGUUGUUCGGAAUUACUGGGCGUAAAGCGAACGUAGGCGGUGUUCCAUGUCAGAGGUGAAAGCCUGGGGCUCAACUCCAGAAUUGCCUUUGAAACGGGGACGCUUGAGUCCGAGAGAGGAUGGCGGAAUUCCUAGUGUAGGGGUGAAAUUCGUAGAUAUUAGGAAGAACACCGGUGGCGAAGGCGGCCAUCUGGCUCGGUACUGACGCUCAGGUUCGAAAGCGUGGGGAGCAAACGGG